UCUUCAUCACGUCCUUGGCCAUCUCUGCAGAUGAAACAAUCAGCGUUGGAACUUUUCCUAAGUGCAGAAGCAUAACAUCGCCAUACUUCUUCGAGAGAGCUUGAAGAGAGCGGUGUGGGAAUGAUCCUAGCUGGUGAAGGUUCCCAAUCCAAGGCAGCCUUGGUGGGGAUGGUGGCAGUUUGAUUUUCUGGUUUUUCCCACUUGAUGAGGAUGAUCUUGUAAGUGCAAACAAUAUGAAUAUUGAAAGGACGAGAAGAGGAAGCAGGAAAAGAUUGCUCUGUAGUUGCUGCCACAUUUGAUUGAAAAGUGAAAGUACCGCCAUUGCUUUAAUUUUGGGUUGCCAGUUGAAAUCUGAGGGCCUUCUUCUUCUUAUUUAUAGAUAAGUUGUCCAGCUUGGGAGCCCACACUUAUUGAAACUUUCAAUUACGCCUGCGUCAGAGGUCGGUUGUAAUUGUCAAAUAGAUAUAAUUUUUUAUUCAGAGCAAGGGUUGAUUUCAAUAUAAUGUCGAUAUAAAUAUUUGAGAUAUUUGUUCAAAAUGGUGGUCCAAGAUUUUCAAACACCAUUUCAAAUCAACAAAUUCAAUUGCUAAUUUUCAACCACUCAAAUUAUUUGUGAACAUGUCUGGUAAUUUUAUCUAUGUAGUUUGAUUUUAUUGUAAUUUAAAGAUAUCAUUUGUAAUGAAAUGAAAUUCUUUGCACGAAGGGCUGGCUUUAACUUCAAUUUUGGCAAUUUGAUCUCUGUAGUUUGAUUUUAUUGCAAUUUAAGGAUAUGCUUAAAUUUCCAUCUAAUUUCUUAACGAAAUAAACAUGUGUCUCUUAGUUGGAGGGGUAUUUCUGAUUGAAUUUAGAUGUUAAAUUGACAAAAUUAAAACUACAGAGAAUAAAAUGAAAAAACUGGUAAACUACAUAGGAACCAAAAGUUACAUAAUGACAGAGUUCGGUUAUGCUACAGUUAUCACACUCGUGGAGACAAUAAUUAUUGUCUGUGGAGGGAUACAUUUGAUGAGUUAUGUGUUUAGUUUCUGUUGGCUUUAAUUCCAACUGUGAUGUUAGUAAUGUAGCUUAGGAGGAUUACAAUACUGGAAUUUUAUUUUCAUAGGAAUUAAAUCAGAGAUUAGUCUUUUCUCAACUUGUCUUCCUUUCCUGCAUGGAAUUUUUUCAGAUUUUUGUUUCGCUUAUUUUGGUAAGCAUGACAAGGUUAGAUUCGUCUUCACGUACACUUAUGACAACCGUCCUCGGCCCCAUCCAAAUCCGACCACAUCAGAAUUCGAGCCGGCACAUCCUCGUGGACCAGAUUUAGCCGUAGCAUAUCAAGGGAAGAUAAAAGUUAGAAUUAAAGCCAACACAACAGAGAGAUGUUGUCAUAGCAUCAAGGGAAGGAUGGAGGGCAGAGAGAGAGAGAGAGAGAGAGAGAGAGAGAGAGAGAGCCAUGCAUGCACGCAUUCUUUUGAAGUUGCAGAAGAAUUAAUAUCCACCAGAUGUCGUCUUCCACAAUUAUUGAAGCUUGCAAUUAAGCCUGCGCCAGAGAUUUGGUGUAAUAGUGAAACUGCUACAAAUUGACAAUAAGUAUCGGGUCCACCAGGAUGUCUUCUUCCACCAACCUACUAUACGACAUGGCAAAAAAAUUUCUGGAUGUGUUGGGAAAGAUUCUGACAUUGCCCCCUUUUGAUGGUCCAAGAUUUUCCCAUUUUGGAUGAAAAAUUUUCAACCCAUUUUGGAUAACAAAGACAUGCUGGUUUUCAGUUCCAGUUUUGUCGUAAUUAAUUGCAUGCACACAACUACUCGCCGCAGUUGCCGCUUUUAUCUUCUUCACCUUACUAUUGCACCAUUGAGAAAUUAUAGAACAUUACAGUAGAAUGGUCAUUUCAAAAGUUUCUUCUCUUUAUGUAUUUACUAGUGACAAACCGUUCUCGGCCAUUCCAAAUCCGAUCGACCACAUCACAAUUUGAGGCACAACCUCAUGGACCCGAUGUAUAUGUAGACGUAAUAUCCACCACCAACUUAAGAACCAAGCCUACUCUUCUUUGAUCAAAAUCUGCUGCAAAUCUAUAAUUUGCCAUUGAUCUUAGAUUUUUCAGUUAUAGGUAAUGUCGAUAAAAGUAAUGAUAAUUGCUAUAUUUACAGAUUUCUGGAAAAUAAACAUAGAAUUUAAAUUCGAAACAAGGGAAGAUGUUGCCGUGGUAUCAAGGGCAGAGGGAGAGGUGUAGGAUCGCUUUCCAGGUAGUCUUGAGUGAGCUCAGAGUCUGAGCCAUGCAUGCCAUGCCAUGCCAUGCUUUUAAACUCAAAUAAACACGUUUUUUGCCUGCUACCGCAAAAACUGGUCCAUGAGGUUGUGGACCAAAGUCUGAUGUGGUCCGGCUUUGAAUUGGCCGACGACGGUUGUUACGUGAAGACAAAAUCUAACUUCUUCAUGCUUCUUACCAAAAUAAGAUAGACAAGCCAUGCAUGAAGACAAGCUGAUUUAUUUCCCUUCUAUUUUGGUCCAGGCCUAAUCACAUUGACUGCCUAUGUGAAAAAUUAAAAUGAAAGCAUAUGUGAAGGAUUAUUGUCACCCAGCUGAUUUAAAACCUACACGAUCUAAGGACUCAACCAUCAUGAUGCAAAUUUUCUACCAUUCAUUCACAUAUGCAGUAUAAAUACAUAGAAAAUAGAAAUACUCUACUUGUUGAAUCAUCAUGAUCCAUUAAAUGUACCAAUCAAUGGAUCAUGAUGACCCAACAAUGAAUGUAUCAUAACUGAACCCGUCAUAACGAUGAAUUAAGGUGUCAUUAUAUUGUAAGCUUUUGGAAUAGUGGGACAGAGAGAAAAAAGUAAAAUAAUAAAUAAAAUGGUGACCAUGAAAAAUUGUUUUGUGGGAUAAAGGAAUAUAUCGUGAAGAAGCAACAAUUGAAAAUAGAGUGCAAGUCAGCCCUUGAAGUUGUGUUGUGUGCAAGCAAUUAAGCAUAUACUUGUGAAGCAGCAAUGACAUAAAUUAGAGCACUUCCAGCGGCGAGGGGAAGCUCGGCAGGAGAGGGCUUAGGCCCGCGUGAUGGCUUCAGCGCCCAAGGCCAAGCUUGGGCAAGGUGUGGGGCCCACCAACCUGGGCAAGCCCAUAGGCAAAUUCAACAUGUGCUGCUGCUUGGGCAAGUGACGUAAUGAUGACAUCAGUAGUCAGUUAAAAUAAUAAUAAUAAUAAAAUUUAAAAAGAAAAAAAUACCAAAAAAUUCAGAAUUUUUUAUUUAUAAAUAUCAAACCAUAGUCUUUACUUGCAACGCCAAAACCCUAUCAAAAUUAAUCUUUUAUGCAUAAAAAAUAAAAAUAAUUUAAAGUGAAUAAUAAUUGCCAUUUGUCAUGGCAAUGAGUGGAAAUACACUUUGCCUUUUGCAAGGGUUAGCAUUAUUCAUGUGAAUAGUAAUAGACCUUACCUCCCCUUGCUCUUUGCCAUGGCAAAUGAAUGAAAGUGCUCUUAAGUGCUGCAACAACAUGCGGGGUAGAUUUCAUUUCAACCAAUUCACAAAUAAUUUGUGUCAAAACUUAAAACUAGUAACUGAACUUAAAUGGUUUGUUUGAGAAUCUUGGACGACCAAAACAAGCUUACACGAUUUUGAACAAAAACAAUUAAGCUCAUUUCCUGUUGCCCCAUGUUGCAAGUUUCUUUUUGGGUCACACUCUGCCCCUCACCGUCAAAUUUGUCAAAACAUGUGUUAAAUAUGUUGACAUGAUGUGAAAGGGACCCAUUGUUCUGCUAAAAUACAUUUCACUUAAUCACCAUGUGUGCAAGAAUAAUAAUAAAAUUAUUUAACCAUUAAAAAAUAAGAUUGAUUAAAAAAAAAAAAAACUCCAAUUUCCCAUUUAGUAAAAUAUUGAAGGUAAUCUAACUUGACACGAUUCUAUGCCUUUACUCUUUAUAUAUUAGUAUAAGCAAUGGUCACACACACUAGUUGCACAGUGUUAUGGGUGUUUAAACUUGGAACCCCUCGUCUACAAGUUAAGAUCAUUUUUCAUUAAGAUACAAAAGUAGUAUAAAAAAAUGUAUUGCAUGUGACAAAACUCUAUGGACUUUUUUUUCGUUAACAUUACAACCUAGUUGUGGGCUUUAAUUAUUAGUCUCAUCCAGAGCAAAAUGGGUGAAGGUACCUUGCACAGGUUUUGGAAUGCCGGGACACAGAAAAAAGGGAAAUAGUUGCCAUAAAAAUUGUCCGGGGGCGGGCCGUGGCCGGGGCCGGGUGGGGUGGUGUAUUGUAAGUAUGAGAUUAAUUUGUGAUGGAUUGAUUUUCUCAAGAAAAACAAUUACCGCUCAUUUCCCAUUGACCUUGUCCUUGAGAUUGGCCGACAACUGUUGGAAUUUGUAGCAUGUGUGUAGUAAAACCUAAGCUAGUCUCUUUCAAUCACCCUAAAAGCACUCACUAUGGCCGGGGUGAUAUCUUUUUUAAUUUUUUGCUUGUAAAUGGUGAUAAUUAUAAGUUAAAUUGGUUUUGUUUUUCUUUGUCAGAGCUGUUCAGAGGGUGCAGCCUCGCGAGAGAGUAUCAGACCUGUUCAGAAACUUGCUCGUCUUCAGGUUUGUGUUAAAUACCUGAAUGAAUCAAACAGUUCUGUGUGAGUAAUAAUUCUGCAAGCUCUGCUAUAUGUACACAUGGUUCUUCCAUACACAACUGAUACCAAAUUAUUUUCAAAGUAUCAGUCAGGCCAUUAUACCAAUCAAUUGGGUCUUUAGUUGGUACUCGUUUAUCUCUCCUUUCAUUUCACCAUAUCCAUUUUAUCUUGAGAUCUUCAGGAGAAACUACAAUUAAAUGCUUUUUCAAAUAGCCAAAUAAGAGAAACAAAAAUCUGAUUUUCCAUGCAUGAGGACAAGCUGAGAAGGCAAAUCUCUGGUUUAUUUUAGGCUAAAACUUAGACAAAUUCAAUGUCGAGUGCUUCCGUGUCAAAACUAUCAUCAUUAGUUGCCUAACUUGCCUGACUUUGCAGAGAAAAGGGAAGACUAGACACUCUUGAUGGCGUACCAACAUGUCAAGGACGAACCUGAAGCAAACACAUUGUAUCUAGAUACAUGCGGCAACAAUCAUGUGUGGUAGUAAGUCAUCUUUUCAUACUACUUUAUGUUUUAUAGUGACAACUCUUCAGUGAAAUAAUCCAUUUUAUGUUGAGAUGUUCACAAGAAACUACAAUUAAAUGCAUUUUCAAAUAGCCAAAGAUGAUUACAACAUCUCAGAGAUAUAUCACUCUGUAAUUAUUAUUAUUAUUAUUAUAAAUAUUUAUGUUGCUGCAGGCAUUGCAGAUACAACUUCUUGCUCAACAGAAAACAAACAAAAAAAAAACUAGAUUUAGAGCAUAAAUAAAAUAAAGAGGCCAUGAAAAUUCUGGAUGAUGAUGGAGGGAUUAAGGGGAGUAUGGUGUUGGAAUAAGAUACAGAGGAGUUUUCUUAUAGACUGUGAGACCGUAAACUUCGGACAUGUCCAAGGUCUCAGCCAAUUUACUGCCACCACUAGGCAACUUCCAGUCGAACCAAAACAGGAUGUUGGCAAGCACAUAUUCAGCUGAAGCAACCCCAAAGGCGAGUCCAGGACACACCCUUCUCCCAGCGCCAAAUGGGAUCAGCUCAAACUCCUGACCUAUGAAACCAAUGGAAUUCUCCUCGAACCUCUCUGGCAUAAACUCAUCUGGCUUAUCCCAUACUUUGGGGUCUCUUUGUAUAGCGUAUGCAUUCACAAACACUUGUGUUUUCGCAGGUACAUCGUAACCUCCCAAUUUUACAUCUGACAUUGCUUCCCGAGGAAGUAAAAGAGGCGCUGGAGGGUGAAGUCUUAAAUUUUCUUUGAUCACACAUGUCAUGUAUUUCAUUUCCUUGAUGUCACUCUCCUCUACAUAUCCCCUUUUCCCCGCCACUCUUCUUACCUCUUCUUGGGCUUUCUUCAUCACCCGUGGAUUUUGCGAAAGCUCUGACAUUAACCAUAUCGCUGCUGUCCAACUAGUAUCACUUCCACCCACAAACAUGUCCUAAAAUCAUAAAAUCAACAAGCCAAAUCAAUCUUCAGCCACAUAUAUAUUUAUCAAUGUGACUAAAGCUAGGGAGGGGGGAUAUACAUACCUGCAGAAUUGCUUUGACAUUGGAGGUAGUGAGCUCAAAGUCGAGUGAGCCGUCCUUUUGAACGUCGAGGAGAAUAUCCACAAUAUCCUUCUUACGAGGAUUACCUUCUUUCUGUACUGCCUUAUGUUCAUCAAUCAACUUAUCGAAAAAUUUAUCAAAUUCCAACCAAAUUGAUUUCAAAUGUGCAAGGUAGCCUCUAGCACGGUCAAUCCAUUUUAAAGAAGGGAAGAAAUCUCCAAAGCUGAAACUCAUCAGCUGAGUCAUCAACUCCGUUGUGGUCUCUCCAAACCAAUUGUCUUCUUUGUCAUCAAACUUCUUUCCAAGAAUGCACCUGCAGAUGAUGUUGUUGGAGGUUGACACCAGCAGCUCCCCAAUAUUAAUGGGAGCCCCGUUCGAGCUGGCGGAGGCUUUGCGAAUCUUGCUGACCAACUCUGCAACUUCCUCCACCCUUGCGUACUGAAACUGGUGCACUCUUUUGAGGCUCAGAAGCUCAAGAACACAAAUUCUGCGAACUUGUUUCCAGUACUCCCCGUAUGGGGAAAAAGUAAUAUCAUGGCCGUCGUAGAACAAUAUACUUGGAGCCGUGGUUUGAGGCCGGCUGCAGAAUACAAUGUCUUGGGUCUUCAUCACGUCCUUGGCCAUCUCUGCAGAUGAAACAAUCAGCGUUGGAACUUUGCCAAAGUGCAGAAGCAUAACAUCGCCAUACUUCUUCGAGAGAACUCGAAGAGAGCGAUGUGGGAAUGAUCCUAGCUGGUGAAGGUUCCCAAUCCAAGGCAGCCUUGGUGGGGAUGGUGGCAGUUUGAGUUUCUGGUUUUUCCCACUUGACGAGGAUGAUCUUGUAAGUGCAAACAAAAUGAAUAUUGAAAGGAAGAGAAGAGGAAGCAGGAAAAGAUUGCUAUAUAGGUGCUGCCACAUUUGAUUGAAAAAUGAAAAUACAGCCAUUGCUUUAAUUUUGGGUUGCCA
rnacentral:lncRNA from 1 species